AAUGGGCGGAAGCCUGAUCCAGCCAUGCCGCGUGAAGGAUGAAGGCGCUCAGCGUUGUAAACUUCUUUUGGAUGGGGACAAACCACUCGAUUCAUCGGGUGCUGAGGGUACCAUCAGAAUAAGCACCGGCUAACUCCGUGCCAGCAGCCGCGGUAAUACGGAGGGUGCAAGCGUUAUCCGGAAUCACUGGGUUUAAAGGGUGCGUAGGCGGUCUGAUAAGUCAGUUGUGAAAUUCCUCGGCUUAGCCGAGUGGACUGCUAUUGAUACUGUCUGAUUUGAAUCAGGUGGAGGUAGGCGGAAUGUGACAUGUAGCGGUGAAGUGCUUAGAUAUGUCAUAGAACACCGAUUGCGAAGGCAGCUUGCUAGACCUGGAUUGACGCUGAGGCACGAAAGCGUGGGGAGCAAA
rnacentral:rRNA from 1 species